ACUUAUAGCGCAACACCAUGACAAGUAACCAAAUCGAAACGCAAUUACUAAAGGAAACCAACUACAUAAAACCUAAUAACUAUUCCCUCCAGUUUCCAUCAGAUCCACCACUCCUGGAGUAAGAGCGGUCGCCACCACCACCAUAUCCGCCGCUGCGGCCACCAUAUCCACCGCUGCCGCCCUCACGGCGACCAUAACCGCCACCGUUUCCGCCCUCGCGACGACCAUAACCGCCACCGUUGCCUCCUCCAUAACCACCACCGUUACCUCCUCCGUAACCACCGCUACCUUCACGGCGAGGUCCGCGGAAUCCUCCGCCACCUCCGCCGCCACCUCCACCGCGAGACUGAGCCUCGUUGACGGUUAUACUACGGCCGUCCAGAUCCUGACCGUUCAUCGCAUCGAUCGCAUCCCUCAUCGAUUGCUCAUCUCUAAACGUCACGAAUCCGAAUCCCCUCGACCUUCCGGUCUCCCGAUCGUUGAUGAUCUGCAAG
rnacentral:lncRNA from 1 species